UAUCUGGUUGAUCUGCAGUAGUCAAUGAUGCUUGUCUCAAAAUUAAGCCAUGCAUUCUAAGUACACAACUUAAUACGUGAAACCGCUGCGAAUGCUCAUUAAAUCAGCUAUGGUUCCUUAGAUCGUUCUCAUUCCUACUCGGAUAACUGUGGAAAAUCCUAGAGCUAAUACGUGGCUCUAACAAGCCCUGACCUCAUCAGGGAGGGCGCAUUUAUUAGAUCAAAAACCAAUCGGGGCUUGCCCGUCUGCUUGUGACCUUUGCCUGAUAAACUUUUGUGCUGAUCGCAAUGGCCUCUGCGCUGGCGACGUAAUCUUUCAAGUGUCUGCCCUAGUCAACUUACGAUGGUAGGUGUGAUAUGCCGCUACCAUGGUUAUAACGGUAACGGGAAUCAUCAUUGGGUUCGAUUCCGGGAGAGGAGCCUGAGAAGACGCUACCACAUCUAAGGAAGGCAGGCAGGCGCGCAAAUUACCCACUCCGGCACGGGGAGGUAGUGACGAAAAAUAACGAUACGGGACUCUUUGAGGGCCCCGUAAUUGGAAUGAGUACAUCUUUAAAUCCGUUAACAAGUAUGCUGUAUGGAGGGCAAGUCUGGUGCCAAGCAGCCGGCGGUAAAUUCCAGCUCCAAUAGCGUAUAUUAAUGCUUGCUGGCAAGUUAAAAAGCUCGUAGUUGAUCUGAGGACUCGCAAAUUGGUGGUGCAUCCAUACGGUGUUACUGGCCGAUUCGCCUACCUAGUCGGUGCUCGCUCUUGUGUUCUUAAUUGAAUGCCCUGAAGUGCCCGGCAAGUUUACUUUGAAAAAAUUAGAGUGCUCAAAAGCAGGCCAUUAAGCCGGAAUACUUCAGCAUGGAAUAAUGGAAUAGGACUUCGGCUUCUAUUUUGUGGUUUUCGGAACCCGAGUAAUGAUUAAGAUAGACAGACGGGGGCAUUCGUACUCGCGGUUGUAGAGGUGAAAUUCUUGAUCGCCGCAAGACGAACAACUGCGAAAAGCAUUUUGCCAAGAAUGUUUUCAUUAAUCAAUGAACGAAAGUCAGAGGUUCGAAGACGAUCAGAUACCGUUUUUUCCUAGUUCUGACCAUAAACGAAUGCCAACUGGCGAUCCGAGAUCGUUUCUUAUUGACCUCGUCGGAGCCUUCCGGGAAACGCCAAGAAGUUUCUUAGUUCCAGGGGAAAUAUAUGGUUUGCAAAGCUGGAACUUAAAAGGAAUGACGGAAGGCGCACCAACAAGAUGGAGCCUUCGGCUUAAUUUGACUCAACACGGGAAAACUCACCCGGCCCGGACACUGUUAGGAUUGACAGAUUGAGUAGCUCUUUCUUGAUUCGGUGGGUGGUGCAUGGCCUGUUCUUAGUUGGUGGAGCGAUUUGUCUGGUUAAUUCGCGAUUAAGAAAACGAGACUCUAGCCUGCUAAAUAGUACGCCGAUACCUUUUCGUCGGUGCUGACUUCUUAGAGGGACAAGCGUCUUGAAGACGCAGCGAGAUUGAGCAAUAACAGGUCUGAUGCCCUUAGAUGUUCGGGGCCGCACGCGCGCUACACUGAAGGGGACAGCGAGUUUUUCCUGGUUCGAAAGAACCGGUAAUCUGUUGAAUUCCCUUCACGUGACAGGGAUCGGGGCUUGCAAUUAUUCCCGUGAACGAGGGAAUUCCCCAGUAAGCGCAAGUCAUGCAGCUUGCGUUGAUUACGUCCCUGCCCUUUGUACCACACGCCCGUCGCUACUGACCGCGAUUGAAUGGUUUAGCAAGGUCCUCGGAUUGGUGCCGACUUGGUGGCAAACUAGGUCGGAUACUGAAAAGAAGAUCAAACUUGAUCAUUUAGAGGAAGUAAAAGUCGUAACAAGGUUUCCGUAGGUGAACCUGCGGAAUGGAUCAUUA
rfam:Macrostomum lignano unitig_40574, whole genome shotgun sequence.